GAUGAACGCUAGCGGGAGGCCUAACACAUGCAAGCCGAGCGGUAGAGUCUCUUCGGAGACUUGAGAGCGGCGCACGGGUGCGGAACACGUGUGCAACCUGCCUUUAUCUGGGGGAUAGCCUUUCGAGGGGAAGAUUAAUACCCCAUAAUAUACUGGAUGGCAUCAUCUGGUAUUGAAAACUCCGGUGGAUAGAGAUGGGCACGCGCAAGAUUAGAUAGUUGGUGAGGUAACGGCUCACCAAGUCAGCGAUCUUUAGGGGGCCUGAGAGGGUGAUCCCCCACACUGGUACUGAGACACGGACCAGACUCCUACGGGAGGCAGCAGUGAGGAAUAUUGGACAAUGGGUGAGAGCCUGAUCCAGCCAUCCCGCGUGAAGGACGACGGCCCUAUGGGUUGUAAACUUCUUUUGUAUAGGGAUAAACCUAGAUACGUGUAUCUAGCUGAAGGUACUAUACGAAUAAGCACCGGCUAACUCCGUG
rnacentral:rRNA from 1 species